AGACGGCCCUAUCCCUGUCUCCCUUGGCUGACUCUCUUUUCGGACUCAGCCCGCCUGCACCCAGGUGAAAUAAACAGCCUUGUUGCUCACACAAAGCCUGUUUGGUGGUCUCUUCACACAAACGCGCAUGAAAUUUGGUGCCAUGACUCGGAUCGGGGUACCUCCCUUGGGAGAUCAAUCCCCAGUCCUCCUGCUCUUUGCUCCGUGAGAAAGAUCUACCUAGGACCUCAGGUCCUCAGACUGACCAGCCCAAGGAACAUCUCACCAAUUUCAAAUCUGAGGACCCCACUGAAAAUCGGACUGUUCAACUCAUCUGGCAGCCACUCCCAGAGCCCCUGGAACUCUGGCCCAAGCCUCUCUGACUGACUCCUUCCCAGAUCUUCUCGGCUUAGCAGCUGAAGACUGACACUGCCCAAUCGCCUUGGAAGCCCCCUAGACCAUCACGGAUGCCGAGCUUC
rnacentral:lncRNA from 1 species